rnacentral:rRNA from 1 species
AUUGAACGCUGGCGGAAUGCUUUACACAUGCAAGUCGAACGGUAGAGGGGGCAACCCCUCGAGAGUGGCGAACGGGUGAGCAAUAUAUCGGAACGUGCCCAGUCGUGGGGGAUAACGUAGCGAAAGUUACGCUAAUACCGCAUACGAUCUAAGGAUGAAAGCGGGGGAUCGCAAGACCUCGCGCGAUUGGAGCGGCCGAUAUCAGAUUAGGUAGUUGGUGGGGUAAAGGCCCACCAAGCCAACGAUCUGUAGCUGGUCUGAGAGGACGACCAGCCACACUGGAACUGAGAAACGGUCCAGACUCCUACGGGAGGCAGCAGUGGGGAAUUUUGGACAAUGGACGCAAGUCUGAUCCAGCCAUUCCGCGUGCAGGAUGAAGGCCCUCGGGUUGUAAACUGCUUUUGUACGGAACGAAAAGGUCUCUCUUAAUACGGGGGGCUCAUGACGGUACCGUAAGAAUAAGCACCGGCUAACUACGUGCCAGCCGCCGCCGUAA